rfam:Triticum aestivum genome assembly, contig: Triticum_aestivum_CS42_TGACv1_scaffold_570972_7AS
AAACUACUCCCUCCGUUCCAAAUUACUCGUCGCAGAAAUGGAUGUAUCUAGAACUAAAAUACAUCUAGAUACAUCCAUUUCUGCGACGAGUAAUUCGGAACGGAGGGAGUAUAUU